AAUGCUAUGGUUCACGUGACUAAGGCUCUGUCGGGUCACAUGCUAGCCUGGGGCUGUCAUGGCUGAUGCGGAGAGCAGCAGCAAGGCUCUGAGCGGGCUGCUGAAUGGCAUAGCCCAGAGCCUGUACUAUGGGAACACAGAGAUCACCGAGGAGCUGCUGAGGUUGGAGCUGUACCCGGGGCUGCCGCUGGAUGAGUUCCGGCCGUUAUAUAGCAAGAUGCAGGGCAUCAUCAAGUCAAUCGCAUCUGCAGAUAUGGAUUUAAAUCAGAUCGAUGCCUUUCUGACAGCCCAGACUAAAAAACAAGGAGGAAUCACGGUGGAGCAGUCUCUGGUCAUUGCUAAGUUUUGGAAGAACCACAAGAAGAAAAUUCGUGAAAGUGUGAUUAGUCACAGCAGAUGGGAAAAUACUGUGAAGAGCCUGAAGUGGAGGAUAGAUUUAAAAUCCCAGUCCAGGAACACAGAUCAAGUAAACAGUUCUGCUGCCAUUGUAGAGAUGGAGAUUGGAACAAAUGACAAGAUUUUUCAUACUUUACCAUCCACGUGGACUACGAUUGGGAAUAGUAACCUGUGCUGAGCGCAGCAGUAGCGGAGCCAGGCCCCUUGCCUGAAGCAUGGCGAGCGAAGCGGAAUCUGAAUUUGUGUGCAUAGAAUUCAAUGAAGCAAAGAUGAAUGAAAUGUUGAAGAAAUUGUCGGAGGUGGAGGAAAGCCUGGCUGCAUUAACGCAAAUCAGCUAAUUGUUCAGUAAAAGCUUUUUCUUUUCUGUCUUUUUUUUUUUUUUUUUUAAAUAAAGCACUUAAAAAAUGAA